UUCCCAUGCUACUCAAGUUAAUUUACCAGAGUUCUAGAUAUUUGUCCAUUCAGGACCAUUUUAGGACUCCAUGCUAAAGGGUCAGAUAAUGAGGUAAAGGUCAAGGUGGUUGGAUUUUUGACUACAAGGGUAGUAGAGUCUUGGGCAGCCUAAGUCUUGACCGUUUGUUAGGGAAUAAUGACUAUAAGCCUGGAACUGCCCACCCUGCCGUGUACUUGCAGGAAUACAAGAAAGCAGGUCACCUUUCAACAAAACCUGGCUUUAUGGAUUAUGCAUGAAGUCAGUCUCUUCCUGGUACUUUUCUUUCAGCCUCAUUAGUAAUCCCCUUCCCCCAUGCUAUUCACUCCAUGUGAUUCCUCAGCUUCAGAAAUAGACCCUCUGUUUAGAAUUUUUGGCAAAUGCUUUCUGGUUUCCACAGGUGGAAGCUGGAACGCAGUCCCAAGUGUCAAUGGCAGAACACAGAUACCUGAAUCCAGUUCCACCUUUCCUGUGUAUCCUCUUCCACUUAUCUUACUUCCCCUUCAUGUUGAACCAACGUUAAUAGGUGCAAGGCACGAGAUGAGUUCACAAGCAAUCAGUGCUGGAAGGAUGUGCAAAAUAAAAGUUAAGAGAAGCUGAGGAUAUAGAAGGCAUCCUGAAAGUAAAACAGCUGAGGACCACAAAGCAUAUCAUGGAAAAUCUGUUAAGCAGGGGAGGUCAGGUAGGAGAGGAAAGAAUAGUCCCUCCCAAAGGAAGCAGUUAAAUAAGUCUGUGGGAGGUCAGUGGUAAAAGGAAGUGGGAAUGAAGUGAACAGAGAGUGCAGCUAGGCCUUCCCUUAGGAGAUAAGCUACUGAGUGUCUUUUAAGCCAGACUAUAUUAACAGGGAAGGGAAGUGGGAGGUCCAUUGGCCUUUCUUUGUGAACUAUGAGCAUAAACACAAACCAAGAAUGACGAUAACUUACAGGGUUAAAUUCUGGUUCUUCAAUAAUUCUAUUCCCUUUACCAACAAUUGAUUCAAAAAUAGACAUGUGACCCAGUUUUAGGCCAUGAGACAACAAACUGGGUGGCUUCUGGAAAACAGCUUCCCAAAAAGGUAAGACCAAGUUCCCUUCCAUUUCAGCCGCUUAAGUUAGCACUUUCUGCUAAAUGCAGCUAAACGUGUUCUAACUAGUUAAAUGGCACAGAACAGUGGAUCUGUUUACUUGUAAUAAAGUCAGGAAAGAAACAUGGAAUAUGUAAAAGCACAGGAAAUUCAAAUCAUGCUAUGACAGCCAAACCAGUAAAGUCUUAGAGUUAAUGAGGAGAAAGCCUUUAGCUGUACCUCCACAGUGGCCAUACCCUAGGCAGCAUUCCCAAUACCAAACAUACCCCUCUCCCAGAACUGCUAAGUCUAAGCCCAGAGGAGAAAGGGAAAAGUAGGGUAAUUCUCUCCUCAAGGAGACCAGGGGUCCCUGGACCAAGCCAUGGGGAGGGUGCUAAAUGAUGGACACAAAGCCUAUUCACAGAACAUCCUGAGGCCUUACAAUGAAC
rnacentral:lncRNA from 1 species